CCUACGGGUGGCUGCAGUGAGGAAUUUUGCGCAAUGGGGGAAACCCUGACGCAGCGACGCCGCGUGGAGGAUGACGUCCUUCGGGAUGUAAACUCCUGUCAGUGGGAACGAUAAUGACGGUACCCACAGAGGAAGCACCGGCUAACUCCGUGCCAGCAGCCGCGGUAAGACGGAGGGUGCAAGCGUUGUUCGGAAUUACUGGGCGUAAAGCGUACGUAGGCGGUUGAUUAAGUCAAAUGUAAAAGCCCGGGGCUCAACCCCGUGGUCGCACUUGA
rnacentral:rRNA from 1 species